rnacentral:tRNA from 1 species
GUGGAUAUAGCUCAGUUGGUCAGAGCGCUGGAUUGUGAUUCCGGAGGUCGUGGGUUCGAGCCCCAUUAUCCACCCCA